rnacentral:rRNA from 1 species
AGCGAACGCUGGCGCCAGGCCUAACACAUGCAAGUCGAACGAACUCUUCGGAGUUAGUGGCGGACGGGUGAGUAACACGUGGGAACGUGCCUUUUGGUUCGGAAUAACUCAGGGAAACUUGUGCUAAUACCGAAUGUGCCCUUCGGGGGAAAGAUUUAUCGCCAUUAGAGCGGCCCGCGUCUGAUUAGCUAGUUGGUGAGGUAACGGCUCACCAAGGCGACGAUCAGUAGCUGGUCUGAGAGGAUGACCAGCCACACUGGGACUGAGACACGGCCCAGACUCCUACGGGAAGCAGCAGUGGGGAAUCUUGCGCAAUGGGCGAAAGCCUGACGCAGCCAUGCCGCGUGAAUGAUGAAGGUCUUAGGAUUGUAAAAUUCUUUCACCGGGGACGAUAAUGACGGUACCCGGAGAAGAAGCCCCGGCUAACUUCGUG